CAGGAUUAACGCUGGCGGCAUAGCCUAAUACAUGCAAGUCGAAUGAGAAGCUUGCGUCUCGAUGGCGAACGGGUGAGUAACACGUAGGUAACCUGCCUUACACUCGAGGAUAACCGUUGGAAACGACGGAUAAUACUGGAUAGGACAGAGAUUCGCAUGAGACUCUGUUUAAAAAGUGAUGGUGUAUGAGGGGCCUGCGGUGCAUUAGCUAGUUGGUGAGGUAACGGCUCACCAAGGCGAUGAUGCAUAGCUGGACUGAGAGGUUGAACAGCCACAAUGGGACUGAGAACGGCCCAUACUCCGUACGGGAGGCAGCAGUAGGGAAUUUUCGGCAAUGGGGGAAACCCUGACCGAGCAAUGCCGCGUGAACGAUGAAGUAUUUCGGUAUGUAAAGUUCUUUUAUUAGGAAAGAUAGUGACGGUACCUAAUGAAUAAGCUCCGGCUAACUACGUGCCAGCCGCUGC
rnacentral:rRNA from 1 species